GAAUGAUCUACUCUACACUACAAGAAAUAUGAGUAUUGGUAGCAGUUCGUGGUAGCACAAAUUCACCAACUGCUACCAAAAGUGCCAAAAUCAGAUCACAACUCAAUCGUAGCAUUAAAUUCGUGCUAUGAAAAUUUUUUAUUAAGCGGAAACGCAAAAUUCAGUUUUGUAGCUAAAAUGUUAUUUUGGAGGGUAAAACACUUAACGAAAUUUCACAUUCCCACCAAAAAAUUAUGUUUUGGUAGAAAUGGUUAUUUUUUUGCCCAAGUCAUUUUCAUUUUACAAAGAAAAAAAAAACUUAUUGAUUUUCUCUAUCAUCGUCUUCAUUGUUUAUUUGACUCAAUCUAUCCAUUUCGAUCGAAGAAACACAUAUGGAUUGGUCUUGUUCAAAGUCGAACUCAGGAACCCUAAUCUGUCAAGCCGCUGGACUCUUCUUCUUCGUCAUACACAAACUCCUCCAUCCACGGCGAAUUGGCUCCUUCACCUUCCUCCGCUGCUUUUCACCACCAUCACAUUUGCCGCUUCUUCUUAAUAUUCCCUUUGUUUUAUCAAUCUCAAUUGCACAGAAAUCAAAACUCUAGAGGUCAUCGACCUAUAUCCUUUGACAAGGUAUGGCUCAGCGUGAAGACGUUUAUGACAUUGAUAGCCCACUAGAUUCCAGGUUUUCUUCUACUCCAAUGCUCCAAUUUCAAUUGGGUCUAUAAAAAUCUCCCUUUUUUGUUGUUUAGUCACACUUGUUCAGUUUUCACGAGUUUCUUUUGUUCGAUUUCGCUGACAAAACCCCCUUGAUUUUGUUCAAUCGAUUUCGGCAUGACUGUUUAUGUUCAUUUCUAUUAAAAAUCUCUCCUUUCUGCUGUUUCCUCUUGACAAAACUCCACCUUGAUUUUGUUCACUUACUAUUGUAUUUGUUUACGGUAUGACCAGAACUGGAUUGUUUAUGUUGGAUUAGCAGAAAAAGUUUGUCUUUUUGGUGUGUGAUUCUGAUUGUUUCUCUUCUAUUGAUUUAUGCAACUGGGAACUGAGUUCUGAUAUGCGUUUUCUGUGAAAAGUUUUACCAUUUUAAUGAUGCCUCAAGGAGUUGUACCAGUUCAGGGAUGGACCCCUACACCGUAAGUUAUGUCAUACCGGAACUGAUCACAGCAACUACAGAAACUUGCAGCAAAACGAGUCAGGCUAAUCUGUCCUCUUGACGGGAUCUAUGCAUUGUUCUUCCUUGAAGGUCCUCACACAAGAAGAUGAGAAUGGAAACGUCAAACUUGAGUGUCUCACCAUUAGUAAACAACAGUUUUAAGCUGGGAGAUUUCACAUUGACUCACGGAUGACAGCUACUAAAGAUGCUGAUCGCAUUGCUGCGCUUGAUGUUCUUCGUAUUAUCAAUAAGCCUACUGCUACUUCUUUGGUUUAUGCUUUUGAAAGGAGAAGCAAUUAAAUAAUUAUUGUCUUUGAUCUUGGUGGUGGUAUCUUUGAUGUCUCUGGUACUUUACAUUAAACUGUUGCUAUAUAUAUAUUAGUUUGAUAAAACGGUUACAGUUUUGUAAAAGAAUUUUGAUUUAUAAAAACUCAAUUGCAAUGUA